GGAAACGACUGCUAAUACCGCAUAACGCGUAGAGGUCGCAUGGUCUUUACGACCAAAAGUAUUUUAUCCGCUAGGAAAAGAUGGCCUCGCGUCUGAUUAGCUAGUUGGUGAGGUAACGGCCCACCAAGGCGACGAUCAGUAGCCGGACUGAGAGGUUGAACGGCCACAUUGGGACUGAGAUACGGCCCAGACUCCGUACGGGAGGCAGCAGGUGGGGAAUAUUGGGCAAUGGGCGCAAGCCUGACCCAGCAAUGCCGCGUGAAGGAAGAAGGCUUUCGGGUUGUAAACUUCUUUUGUCAGGGACGAGCAGAAGACGGUACCUGACGAAUAAGCCACGGCUAACUACGUG
rnacentral:rRNA from 1 species